UCAAACUUGGUCAUUUAGAGGAAGUAAAAGUCGUAACAAGGUCUCCGUUGGUGAACCAGCGGAGGGAUCAUUACCGAGUUUUCAACUCCCAAACCCCUGUGAACAUACCUAUCGUUGCUUCGGCGGACCGCCCCGGGUGCUGCGUGCCCCGGAUCCAGGCGCCCGCCGGAGGCCACAAACUCUUGAUUCUUUAACUGUAUCUUCUGAGUGGCGUAAAGCAAAAAAUAAAUUAAAACUUUCAACAACGGAUCUCUUGGUUCUGGCAUCGAUGAAGAACGCAGC
rnacentral:misc_RNA from 1 species